rnacentral:rRNA from 1 species
GCUUGCUGCUUUGCUGACGAGUGGCGGACGGGUGAGUAAUGUCUGGGAAACUGCCCGAUGGAGGGGGAUAACUACUGGAAACGGUAGCUAAUACCGCAUAACGUCGCGAGACCAAAGAGGGGGACCUUCGGGCCUCUUGCCAUCGGAUGUGCCCAGAUGGGAUUAGCUAGUAGGUGGGGUAAAGGCUCACCUAGGCGACGAUCCCUAGCUGGUCUGGGAGGAUGACCAGCCACACUGGAACUGAGACACGGUCCAGACUCCUACGGGAGGCAGCAGUGGGGAAUAUUGCACAAUGGGCGCAAGCCUGAUGCAGCCAUGCCGCGUGUAUGAAGAAGGCCUUCGGGUUGUAAAGUAC